CGCGGUAUUUUGACUGUGCGAAGGUAGCAUAAUCAUUUGUCUUUUAAUUGAGGACUUGUAUGAAUGGCUGAACGAGAAAAUAACUGUCUCUUUAGAAAAUCUUGAAUUUUACUUUUAAGUGAAAAGGCUUAAAUAAAUUUAAAGGACGAUAAGACCCUAUAAAUCUUUAUAUUAUUUUUCUUUAAUUUUUAAAUUAUACACUAAAGAAAUAAAAGAAAAAAAUAUUAUAUUGGGGAGAUAAAAAUAUAAUUUUUAACUGUUUUUAAUAUAAAACAAUGAUUUUUGAUUUAUUAAAAUUGAUCCUUUUUAAAGAUUUUAAGAUUAAGUUACUUUAGGGAUAACAGCGUAAUUUUUUUUGAGAGUUCUUAUCGAAAAAAAAGUUUGCGACCUCGAUGUUGAAUUAAAAAUAUCCUUAUAAGUGCAGAAGCUAUAAAGGAAAGUCUGUUCGACUUUUAAAUUUUUACAU
rnacentral:rRNA from 1 species